UUUCUUUUUUGUGCUAAUUGUUUGGUUAUGCUUUACAGUUUUAUGCUUCAAUAAGGUCACUUUCCAUAAAUUAAUUUCUACUGCGCGCAUGGGUUCAAUAUAUUUGUGGCGCUAGCAGAUGGAAUGAAUUAGAUGUGCUUUAGUCGCGUGCAUCUAAACCAGUUUGGAACGUAAUUCAAAGCCAGCGACUAUAGAUAAGCUUUGAAUAAAAUCACAAGUCAUGCAGAUCAGAUGUUAUCCGCACAAAUUAGCUGGUCUGUGCAUAGGCCUUUGUUGUUGCAAAGGUUUCUCUCAUGAAAGAGUUCUUGCAAUGAUAAUAUGGGCUCCUUUGGCUUUCCUUGAAGCUUCCAAAGAUGAAUUACAUAUGGAGUCUCCUGCCAAUGGUACAAUGGAAGGUAUAAGAU